GCAGUCGCCGCGGGAAUACAGAGGGUGCAAGCGUUAAUCGGAAUUACUGGGCGUAAAGCGCGCGUAGGUGGUUUGUUAAGUUGGAUGUGAAAUCCCCGGGCUCAACCUGGGAACUGCAUCCAAAACUGGCAAGCUAGAGUAUGGUAGAGGGUGGUGGAAUUUCCUGUGUAGCGGUGAAAUGCGUAGAUAUAGGAAGGAACACCAGUGGCGAAGGCGACCACCUGGACUGAUACUGACACUGAGGUGCGAAAGCGUGGGGAGCAAACAGGAUUAGAUACCCCGGUAGUCCCUGUCUCUUAUA
rnacentral:rRNA from 1 species